GAAAACUCUUGCCCUUCCCCUUCCGCAUCUUUUCCCUUCCAUACUGUCUCCGCAAAUGGCCAAAACUCCCAGCGACUCCAAAGAGCCGGCAGUUUCAUCGGCGGAGAUGGACGGAGUCGAGAAGGUAUUCAGGAAGUUUGACGCCAAUGGCGACGGAAAAAUCUCUCUAUCGGAGCUUGGCGCGAUUCUGAAUGCACUUGGCAGUGAGACGUCGCCGGAUGAGGUAAAGAGAAUAAUGUUGGAAGUUGAUACUGAUGGUGAUGGUUUUAUUGACUUGAAAGAGUUUGCUGCUUUUUACUGUCCGGGAGGAGCGGACGGUGAUAAUAAGGAGCUUCGGGAGGCUUUCGACUUGUAUGAUAAGGACAAAAACGGCAAAAUCACAGCGGCUGAAUUGCAUUCUGUUAUGAAGAGCCUCGGAGAGAAGUGCUCGCUCAAGGAUUGCCGUCGUAUGAUCAGCAAGGUGGAUGUUGACGGCGAUGGAUGCGUUAACU
rnacentral:misc_RNA from 1 species